CCUUGACUGUCUCCCCCCAAAAAUUUCCUUUCACUUUCGGUCUCUGGCUGUCACCCGGCUUGGCCCCUUCCACACCCAACUGGGGCAAGCCUGACCCGGCGACAGGAGGCAUGAGGGGCCCCCGGCCGAAAUGACAGUGCUGGCGCCAGCCUGGAGCCCAACAACCUAUCUCCUCCUGCUGCUGCUGCUGAGCUCGGGACUCAGUGGGACCCAGGACUGCUCCUUCCAACACAGCCCCAUCUCCUCCGACUUCGCUGUCAAAAUCCGUGAGCUGUCUGACUACCUGCUUCAAGAUUACCCGGUCACCGUGGCCUCCAACCUGCAGGACGAGGAGCUCUGCGGGGCCCUCUGGCGGCUGGUCCUGGCACAGCGCUGGAUGGAGCGGCUCAAGACUGUCGCUGGGUCCAAGAUGCAAGGCUUGCUGGAGCGCGUGAACACGGAGAUACACUUUGUCACCAAAUGUGCCUUUCAGCCCCCCCCCAGCUGUCUUCGCUUCGUCCAGACCAACAUCUCCCGCCUCCUGCAGGAGACCUCCGAGCAGCUGGUGGCGCUGAAGCCCUGGAUCACUCGCCAGAACUUCUCCCGGUGCCUGGAGCUGCAGUGUCAGCCCGACUCCUCAACCCUGCCACCCCCAUGGAGUCCCCGGCCCCUGGAGGCCACAGCCCCGACAGCCCCACAGCCCCCUCUGCUCCUCCUACUGCUGCUGCCCGUGGGCCUCCUGCUGCUGGCCGCUGCCUGGUGCCUGCACUGGCAGAGGACGCGGCGGAGGACACCCCGCCCUGGGGAGCAGGUGCCCCCCGUCCCCAGUCCCCAGGACCUGCUGCUUGUGGAGCACUGACCUGGCCAAGGCCUCAUCCUGUUGAGAUGGGGUUUUGCCAUGUUGGCCAGGCUGGUCUCAAACUCCUGAUCUCAGCUGAUCCGCCCGCCUCAGCCUCCCAAAGUGCUGGGAUGACAGGUGUGAGCCACUGUUCCUGGCCCAUGCUGGGCUUUCCACAAAUGAACUCACUUCCUUGAGAAGUUCGUGCCAUUAUGAUCCCAAGGCAUAGAGAGAUGGAGUCUUGCUCUGUCGCCCAGGCUGUAGUGCAGUGGCAUGAUCUCGGCUCACUGCAGCCCCCGCCUCCCAGGUUCAAGCGAUUCUCCUGCCUCAGCCUCUGGAGUAGCUGGGAUUACAGCGGAUCCUUAAACAACCCAGUGAGACAGACAUCUAUCAUCCCAUUUUACAGGGGAGGAUACUGAGGCACACAGAGGGGAGUCACCAGCCAGAGGAUGCAUAGCCUGGACACAGAGGAAGUUGGCUAGAGGCCGGUCCCUUCCUUGGGCCCCUCUCAUUCCCUCCCCAGGAUGGAGGCAACGCCAGAAUCCAGCACCGGCCCCACUUACCCAACUCUGUACAAAGCCCUUGUCCCCAUGAAAUUGUAUAUAAAUCAUCCUUUUCUACCA